rnacentral:rRNA from 1 species
CCGCCGGCGACCGGCGCACGGGUGAGUAACACGUAUGCAACCUGCCCCUGUCAGGGGGACAACCCGCCGAAAGGCGGGCUAAACCCGCGUACAUGCCACCGGGGCAUCCCGGAGGCAGGAAAGGCUUCGGCCGGACAGGGAUGGGCAUGCGGCGCAUUAGGCAGUAGGCGGGGUAAUGGCCCACCUAACCGACGAUGCGUAGGGGUUCUGAGAGGAAGGUCCCCCACACUGGUACUGAGACACGGACCAGACUCCUACGGAAGGCAGCAG